rnacentral:lncRNA from 1 species
UGGAAUGGAGGAAAAUACACAGGUACAAGAGGAAAAAGAAACAAAGGAAAAAACAGUAGUUUCUGAAAGGGGUAAAAAAAGACUAGGUACAAAUCAAACAAACAUCUCCAUAGGAGGAGUAAUUAUAUGUUGGCUGGCCAUAAGGGUGAAAUUCAGUAGCCUUCUGGCUUGUAGGCGAUGAAACUGAUGCACUGCACUUGACGAACGUUAUCGAAUCCGAUAAUACGGAUCCAGGCCUGUGGGUAAGCCUUCUUGGCCUCUUGGACCUCAUUCAACACCUGGGUAGCGUCAGUGCACCCAAACAUGGGCAACUUCCACAUUGUCCAGUACCUUCCAUCGUAGUAUCCUGGUGACCUGUGGUGCUCACGGUACACGAAUCCGUGCUGCAUCCAUAACAUAUUCAUAAUAAUUAGUUACUAUUAUGCUUAAUUAAUACUUGUAAAUUUUAUAAAUCAGAGACAAAUAUUGACCUCAGUCUCGAAUUCCAAGCAAGGAACCCAUCCCUUUUGCAAAAGGUACUCAAUUUCCUUGAGCAAUUGCUCGUCAGACAAAUCAGGAAGGUAUGAGAGAGUCUCGUACUUCUUCUUGUUAAUUGGUGGCCACACCUACACUCCACACAUAAAACAAUUCAAAGUAAUUAGUACUAGCACGAAUUAGAAACGUAGUUAACUAUAUUGAUAAUGUAAAAAUUCUUUUAACCAGCAUGCAUUGGACACGUCCACCGUUGCUAGCAAUGGAAGUAAUGUCAAGGUUGUUCUUCCUAGUAACUGGGAAAGAUGCAGCAGAUUUUAGGCCAGUGAAGGGUGCAACCAUGCUAGCCUGAGUGACAUUGGUGCGGGUAGCAACGGCUGCCGAAGAGAUCACUGAGGAAGCCAUUGCGUUACUACUUAGUUUUAUUUUUCCUUGAGACAAUUGUUUUUUUGAAGAUGCUCAUUGCACUGUGGCUCCCGUCCUUUAUAUAAUGAAAAGAUUAGACAUAUUCUCUAUCUAACGGAUUGAAACAAGCAAACCUCAUCUUAGAUGAAUGGUGACCAUUGGAUUAUGUGGCUGUUGAUAUUACAAAGUUUAAUGGCCACAUGAAAGAUAAGAAAUUGGAGCUAAGUGUCUUUUUCAUUUCUUCUUUUUAAAUUCAUUAAGAAGCCAGAAUGGAGGUGCCACGAGUCAGAAGCUGGUGAAUCUUAUCUCAUCCAGAAUGGUUAAUUUUUCUAUGUUUUCAGAGAGUGCAGUUUAGCCUCAUCUUAUUAUUACAGUAGUGGAUGUAGUUGCAGUCUUUUUUGAUUGGACUUGGAGAGACCAUUCCGUAUUGCAGAAGGUCCAGACGUAUUUUUCUGGACGCAUCAUUUUCGUAUUUUUGGCCACUCCCAAGUUUUAUUUAUUUUCAACUUAGCUUAUAAAUGGUGACAAUAUAGACACCUCAUAUUCCAAAAAAGAAAAUUUAAAUUAGCCUUGAAUCUCAUUGCUAAAUUGCUGGUGACUAACAGGAUUAUUUGACAGUCCGCCAAAUAUUAUGUUAGCAAUGGAUUAAUUUUGCUGUUUAGUUACAAAAUUUUUUUGUUGCUUGUUUCUAAUUUUUAGUACGUAAUUUUAGGUCGCAAGUUCUUACUUUUAGUAAAUGGUUACUCCAUCCAUUUUUAAAUAAGUGCAUGUUUUGAAAUUAACAUGCCAUUAAUAAAUUGCUAACUCCUAGAAAAUAAAAUGUAAUUUUAUCAAUUUAUGCUAUAUACUACCAAAAGGGCAGCCUUUAGCCACGAUUUUGUAGCCACGACUGCAGAAAGUCGUCCCUAACAUUAUAAGACAAUUUGAGGUUUCCAACGCAUCACAAAGCGAUGCUAAAAUAUUGUGGCAAAAAAUAGGCGGGGUACUAAAAUUUCACUCCCUUUUUUCAUCCGCCCCCACUUUUUUUUUUUUUUUUGAAAUUAAUUUUUCUUUCCACCCAAAAUUUAAUUUAGUAGUAUAGGAAAUUAUUUUCAUUUUUUUGGCACUCAAAUAUCUGUUUAAUCCUAAAUUGCUACUCACCCAAAUCACUGCCUCCUCUCUAUCAUCGAAAUUCAACUUCUGCUAAUUGUUGCCACUCCUUUCUAUCAUUGUAAUCUUCUUGUGUUCUUAUUUUGCCACAAGUUUUAGGGCCAUUGAAGUACCUUUCUUAUUUUGGGUUGUAUUCUUCUUAUUUUGGAUUGCUGUAUCGAAUUUUUGUUGUUUUAUUGCUCACUCUUGCAUUGUUGUUCUUAUUUUGGUUUAUUGUGUAGAGUUAUAUUGAAUUUUCCUUUAUUUUGAAGGAAAUUGCUAAACCUAGUUUAUCGAAACUUGAUGAGAAAAGAAAUUGACUCAAUCUAAACGAGGUACUCUAAUCGACUCAAAAAUUAUAUGUAAAGAGCUAAUUAAGUGCUACUGAGGGUUGAGGGUUUAGCAGGUCUUAACUACACUAACUUUUUACUAUUUUGUUGUUUUCUUUACAGGUAAUUUCCAUACAAUUUGAAGGCUAUUGAAAUUAUGGCAUCUUCAAACUCUUUAUUAAGUUGGAACAUUUUUCGCCUGAUGAGGCUCUUUACUUGUUAUUAACUCUAUUUAUUUGCUCUUUCAAAGGGUUCAUUUUCAAAAAAUUAUGUAUAAUGUAUUAGUACUAUAUAGAAGCAUGGUAAAGUAGGCAGGUGUUCGUCGAUAUGCCUGCAUGUUCCGUAAUUUUACUAUAUCACUCUUAAUUAAUUAUAAUUACAUGUCAGUUACGUAUUAAAAAAUUAAUAAUAUUUAAUGAAAAAAUAAAAUAGACAUUUAUAAUAUACUGAUUCAGUUACUUCAACCAUAAUUUAUCAUAUCACUCCUAAUUAAUUGUUAUAAGUCAUCUAAGUAUUAAGAAAUUAAUAAUAUUUAUUAAAAAAGGUAAAAUAGACAUAAAAUGAUAAAUUAAGAAACAAUUACACAAAUAAUCAAACUUAAGGACCAUUAUUUCAAAAAAUCCCAUGUCUUUUAAAAUACUUCAUAAUAUACCACUUUUUAGUAUUUUUAUCCUUGAUACAUAUUAUUUCUCUCUCAAAACCGCACAACCACCUAUUUUUUAGCCCCACAUCUCUCCAUUUCAUUUAAAAAAUUUUUUAGCCCAAAAUAAUCGAUAACUUCUCUCUAAUUUUGAGUUUCAAUCACUUAUCUUCAUCCUCUAUCUAUUGCAAACGUCAUUCAAGUCAAUGCGGUAUAAUUUUUUUUUUUUAAUUUUUUUGAGAGGUGAGUUGACUGUUGAAGUAGAUUUUAAGAAAGAUUAAUUUAUAGUAUUAGUUUCAAAACACAUUUAUUGUAUUUUUUUUGUUUUUUUAUUUUUUGAAUUUUAUGGCUUCCGAUGAUUAACCAUCAUUCUGUUUGGAUGUUACCCAAAUUGAUAAGAGCAUUGCUGGUUCUUCAAGUGAUGAAGUGGUGGGUUUUAUUCCGGAUAAUUUUGGUAACAUUUUAAUUUUUUUUUGCGAAAAUCAAAACACUGCAAUGACUUUGCAAAGAUGAAGAGGCUUCGAAAAGAUUAUGCUACUCAAACUGAAAAAACAAACAUGCAAAUCAGUGAGGAAAACAAUAUAGGGAGAUGUACAAUUUCCCCUCAAAUAUGGUAAAAAAACCUUAAAAUUUUCACUUGAUACAUAUGACAUUUUUACUACGAUCUGAAUGCAUUUGAUGCUUUUGUUAGAUGAUACUUUUGAUAUAUUUUUGUAGUUGAUACUUUGUCUAUAUUUAAGUGUUUGUAACAGUUUAUUCUUCGUACUGAUAUUUGUUGGAUUUGAUACCUUUGAUAUAUUUAAAAUCCGUUAUGUGUAUUUAUAAUUUGCAUAUUUAAUACAUUUGAAAUAUUUUGAUAGCAAGUAUUCAUUGCCAUGUGUUAAAUCAAUAUACAUAUGUUUGAUAUAUUUUGAUAUAUAUAAUGUAUAGAUACAGUAUAUGUAUCAAUAUAUCUAUUUUAUACAUAUGAUACAUAUCAUACUAUAUUAUAAUGUUAUACGCCCGACCUAACUUGUUUAAUCUGCUGAUUACAAAGAAUGUGAACAUAGUUGUCAAAAAAAUGGCCUUUACAUAAUUUAAGGUAUUGUAGAAUACAUAAUCACAUGAUUGUUUCAAAGAUGAAGACAGGUCUAAAGGAAGAAAAAUUUAGAAUAUUUCGUCGUACCUAUUUUGAAUCAUAUCUCAGAAUGUUCAAAUGCAACGUCAAGGAUUAUGGAAUGAACAAAGCAAUGAAUGGAUAUGUUAGUGACAAUCAAGACAUGUGUUAGUGACAAUCAAGACCGCCUAAACCUAAAUACACAUACAUUCCUUAAGAUGAUCAGAAUUUGAUAGAUAUUGAGUAGUUGUUUUUCUGGUAGUCGUGUUCUGAUAGUUGUGUUCUGAUGUUGAAUACAUAUUUUGUGAUUUUGUUCUGAUAGAAUUUUCAUGAUGAAAUUGUGGCUUUUUGUGUCCUUGUUUUCUUUUUUGGUGGAAAAAUUAAAUGGUGAUUUGACAUUACAUAUAAUAACACUUAGUACUUUAUUUAUUAUAAUAAUUUUUUUUUACAGUUUUAUGUAUUAUUAUGUUAAAGUUAUUAUUUUUGCAGUUUACCAGUAACUUCAAAUCAUAUGUAUAUACAAUAUGAUUCAUUGCAUUCAAAAACAUUUAUCAAUGAAAUUGCAGUUCAUCAGUAUCUGAAUGAUAUAUAUCAAAUAUAUGUAUCAUUAAUGAUUUAUAUGUAUCAAAUAAAGUCAAACAAAAAUUAUUGCUGAUAAUUCUAAAAGGCUAGGAGUAAAGCAAGAGAUGAUCGAUCAUAAUAGGACUAACACAAGUUGAAAUCAGUAUAUUGAGAAACAAUGCUGAUUUAUUUUUUUGAAUGAAUUUAUGAAGACUUUUUAACGAACAAACGUUUGCUAUUGAAUAGGACUUAUUGAGAAUUAUUAUUCAUAAAGUGAAACUCAAUAUUUGAUGUUGAAUUGAAACUUUAUGCUUCAGACAAAGGGACUUAGUAACAAAAUUGUAGUUCUUAAGAAAUAAUGCAGUAAUAGCAAACUUUAAAUCAACUUAAAAUUGCAGUUGAUUAGUUAACUGAAUGAUAUGUAUCAAACAUAUGUUUCAUUAAUUAUUAAUAUGUAUCAAUCAACUUAAAAUUACAAUUAUUUUUUUUUGUUACACAAUUAAAGUUAUGUUAAAGUUACUGUUUUUGCACUUCACUAGUAACUUUAGUUUAUAUGUAUAUAACAUAUGUAUCAGUUACUUUGCAUUUUUUUUAGUUACCGGAAUGAUAUGUAUCUAACAAUGUUUCAAAGAUAUGAAUUAAUUAUGUAUACAAAAAAGCUAUUGUAGCGAUUCACUGUAAUUAAUAUUUUCAGCAAUUCAUCGAUCGUAAGUUGAAAAACUAUUGUAGCCAUUAGAUCUCUGUAAG